rnacentral:rRNA from 1 species
GAACCUUUACUAUAGCUUGACACUGAACAUUGAGCCUUGAUGUGUAGGAUAGGUGGGAGGCUUUGAAGUGUGGACGCCAGUCUGCAUGGAGCCGACCUUGAAAUACCACCCUUUAAUGUUUGAUGUUCUAACGUUGACCCGUAAUCCGGGUUGCGGACAGUGUCUGGUGGGUAGUUUGACUGGGGCGGUCUCCUCCUAAAGAGUAACGGAGGAGCACGAAGGUUGGCUAAUCCUGGUCGGACAUCAGGAGGUUAGUGCAAUGGCAUAAGCCAGCUUGACUGCGAGCGUGACGGCGCGAGCAGGUGCGAAAGCAGGUCAUAGUGAUCCGGUGGUUCUGAAUGGAAGGGCCAUCGCUCAACGGAUAAAAGGUACUCCGGGGAUAACAGGCUGAUACCGCCCAAGAGUUCAUAUCGACGGCGGUGUUUGGCACCUCGAUGUCGGCUCAUCACAUCCUGGGGCUGAAGUAGGUCCCAAGGGUAUGGCUGUUCGCCAUUUAAAGUGGUACGCGAGCUGGGUUUAGAACGUCGUGAGACAGUUCGGUCCCUAUCUGCCGUGGGCGCUGGAGAACUGAGGGGGGCUGCUCCUAGUACGAGAGGACCGGAGUGGACGCAUCACUGGUGUUCGGGUUGUCAUGCCAAUGGCACUGCCCGGUAGCUAAAUGCGGAAGAGAUAAGUGCUGAAAGCAUCUAAGCACGAAACUUGCC